rnacentral:rRNA from 1 species
UACGAAGGGGGCUAGCGUUGUUCGGAAUCACUGGGCGUAAAGGGCGCGUAGGCGGCUUUAUAAGUCGGGGGUGAAAUCCUGAGGCUCAACCUCAGAACUGCCUCCGAUACUGGCAAUCUCGAGUUCGGAAGAGGUUGGUGGAACAGCUAGUGUAGAGGUGAAAUUCGUAGAUAUUAGCUAGAACACCAGUGGCGAAGGCGGCCAACUGGUCCGACACUGACGCUGAGGUGCGAAAGCGUGGGGAGCAAACAGG